rnacentral:rRNA from 1 species
GUAAGGAAUAUUGGUCAAUGGAGGCAACUCUGAACCAGCCAUGCCGCGUGCAGGAAGACGGCCCUCUGGGUUGUAAACUGCUUUUAUCCGGGAAUAAACCUGCCUUCGUGAAGGUAGCUGAAUGUACCGGAAGAAUAAGGAUCGGCUAACUCCGUGCCAGCAGCCGCGGUAAUACGGAGGAUCCAAGCGUUAUCCGGAUUUAUUGGGUUUAAAGGGUGCGUAGGCGGCCUGUUAAGUCAGGGGUGAAAGACGGUGGCUCAACCAUCGCAGUGCCCUUGAUACUGAUGGGCUUGAAUAGACUAGAGGUAGGCGGAAUGUGACAAGUAGCGGUGAAAUGCAUAGAUAUGUCACAGAACACCGAUUGCGAAGGCAGCUUACUAUGGUCCUAUUGACGCUGAGGCACGAAAGCGUGGGGAUCGAACAGGAUUAGAAACCCGGGUAGUCC